rnacentral:rRNA from 1 species
AGCGUAGACGGAAUGGCAAGUCUGAUGUGAAAGGCCGGGGCUCAACCCCGGGACUGCAUUGGAAACUGUCAACCUAGAGUACCGGAGGGGUAAGUGGAAUUCCUAGUGUAGCGGUGAAAUGCGUAGAUAUUAGGAGGAACACCAGUGGCGAAGGCGGCUUACUGGACGGUAACUGACGUUGAGGCUCGAAAGCGUGGGGAGCAAACA